rnacentral:rRNA from 1 species
GAUGAACGCUGGCGGCGUGCCUAAUACAUGCAAGUCGAGCGAACAGACGAGGAGCUUGCUCCUCUGACGUUAGCGGCGGACGGGUGAGUAACACGUGGAUAACCUACCUAUAAGACUGGGAUAACUUCGGGAAACCGGAGCUAAUACCGGAUAAUAUAUUGAACCGCAUGGUUCAAUAGUGAAAGACGGUUUUGCUGUCACUUAUAGAUGGAUCCGCGCCGCAUUAGCUAGUUGGUAAGGUAACGGCUUACCAAGGCAACGAUGCGUAGCCGACCUGAGAGGGUGAUCGGCCACACUGGAACUGAGACACGGUCCAGACUCCUACGGGAGGCAGCAGUAGGGAAUCUUCCGCAAUGGGCGAAAGCUUGACGGAGCAACGCCGCGUGAGUGAUGAAGGUCUUCGGAUCGUAAAACUCUGUUAUUAGGGAAGAACAAAUGUGUACGUAACUAUGCACGUCUUGACGGUACCUAAUCAGAAAGCCACGGCUAACUACGUG